AUGUACCCUCUUCUCAGCCCCGCCGAUGAUGGCGUUGUCUACUUGGCGCUUGGCAAGCUCCGUGAGAACCGGAGCAACUGGAUGUGCAUCCCAAGAGGGGCACGAUGUGUACUCGCGCUCAACAUACGGAUGAACACCAUCCAGAGCACAAUUUCUCUUGAGGAAUGCUUUGACGAGCCUUUCAUCCCCAACUUCGUCGCUUCUAAUUUCUGCCGGUACGCUCGUGUCGUCGAUCUCGAUUCGCACAUCUUGAUGAUGGAGAUGAGGAGGCAGCAGUCUUCGGAGGAACAAGAUGGGCGAGCUGAUCUUCCAGCUCAUUAUUAUUUUCACUCAAGACUAGCCCAGUCAGGCAUUGUAGACACCGUGCCAGAGCACCAUUCUGGAGUUACCAUGGAGUGA
rnacentral:rRNA from 1 species